CUCCCUCCCUCCCUCCCUCCGGCGCCCGCCCGCCGCUCUCUCCCUCUCACUCUCACACUGGGAGCGACGCACGCCCCACCCGCCCCUCAGCUUCGUAGGCCCGGCCCCUUAAAGAGACACGCACUAACUCUCGUUAGGCGCCUACAGCCCAGGCUGGGGCGAGCGGGCGGAACACAGCCUGGCGGACCUGGCCUGACCCUGCGGGCGGCUUUCUGGAACAAUAAGCCCCGGGCCGGAGUGAUGUCGGCCGGUCCCGAAUCGGGAGGGGUAGUACCGCUACCCCUCCUUCAGUCUGCUGGACGGCCGGGGGCGGAGACGUGACUGGGCCCGCUACAGGAUUGUUUGCUGCGGUCGUCUGGAGAACGCCCAGAGCUCGUCAGGAGCCUAUCCUCCCUCUCCGGCGGCUCUCCGGGAGCCCCAGAGUCCGCGGCGGUGCCGAAGAGCCCUCCCCUAGACCUCCGGGCUCUGAGAAACUCUUAGUGUUCACAUUGGAUUUUUCUGUUGAGACUAGAUUGUUGGACUUAGCUAAGAAGUUGACAUCCAGCCAAGCACUAUCUUCUGUAAAGUCUCCUUUGUAAGCUCCUACAGCUAGCUAUUUCAUUGAUCUUGAAAAUAUUUAUUAAAAAGAACCACAUACUACAACCCUCAAGUAUACAGGAAUGUUGUUAUUAGAUCUUGGCACACUUCCAGAGAACUCAUCUCCUCAGAAGUUUCUCAUUGCAUCUUCCACGAAGACUUGUCCUACCCAACAGAGGAUAAAAGCACUCAAGAUUAUCCCAGUUUUACAGACAAAUAAACCAAUGAUUCCAGAGGUUAAGAUAUAUAUCAAGGGUCAUAUGACUAAGGAGAAGUAAAGCCAGGAUUUGGACCAGGUAAUCUGAUUCAAGACAUUUUCAACAAAAAACCUGGAAUUUACCACCAACAAAAAAACCUGAUAACAAAAAGGAAUGAUGAACAAAUAAAUUAAUAAGUAAGUGAUAAUAA